GAGACAAACGUAAAUGAGUAGAUAAGUCAGAAGAAGUUGUUUGCUGAUCAUUAUGCUUACCUGCUAGUCAUACAAAUUUCUUUUCCAGAUUAUGAUUGGCCUAAUUAGUUGGCAGUUCAGAUGGAUGAAGUUAUGCACACUGAGACUGUUCUUAAUUUAGUAGCAAUAUCCUCCACUCCAAAGCCAGCCCAUGAUAUUGGCAACUCAUAGUACACAUGACUAUUCAGCAAACUCUUGAAGGCAGCCAGCUUCACUUCAAUGGUCCAGAAAGACAGACACCUGGAAACGAUCAUGACGUAAGCCAGAGAAAGCUGCAGAGUACACUUCAAUGGCCCGAGGGUCAAAGCCCCACAAGUAACAAAUCAACAAAAACCAACCCACUAGCAAAUCCGGAAGCUGUCUCCUGGACUGGAUCCAACAUGCACACCGAUGGGUAAUCUUAAAUUCAUCUGAGUUGAGUUGACAUUAUCAAUUCUGGUCAAGAAUGUCAACCUAAAGAUGGGUUAUGACUCAAGCACAGUAGUCAAAGUUUCAUCCUCAAAAGACAAUAUAAGGAACGUAAGAAAACAUUCUAAGGGAUUUGAAACAACAAUCUUCUUGUCAAUGUAGGGAACAAACCCAGAUGAGCAUCAGGGAUCUAGUGCCCACAUCUUGCAUCAGGGAUCCAUACACCUAAUUCCUCUUAUCGUACACGGAUCACAGAGGAGAUAAAAAGCAGAUGAAAAAGAGAGACAAGAAAGAGGGUCGGCGGCGCACCUCGGCCGGCCACAGAGGGAGGAUACCAGAACUCACGUGCGGUGGAGUAAUAGGACCCUCGUUGCCGCCGCCGCCGCCUCGAUUGCUUCGGAGACAGCGGGCAGAGAGAGAGGUCGGAGAAGUUACGGGAAGUGGGAAUGCAGCACAAGUGAUGUACCGUGGGUAAAGCGGGUUGCGUUGAGUUGGAUGUCGACGUACAUCGAACCCCUCGUGCCGGUCCAACUAGUCACCGGGUUGGUUUACAGUUGACCCGGCUUAGAUGUCCG
rnacentral:lncRNA from 1 species